UACAGAGGGUGCGAGCGUUAAUCGGAAUUACUGGGCGUAAAGCGCGCGUAGGCGGCUUUGCAAGUCGGGUGUAAAAUCCCCAGGCUUAACCUGGGAACUGCAUUCGAGACUGCAUUGCUAGAGUAUGGGAGAGGGAAGUGGAAUUUCCGGUGUAGCGGUGAAAUGCGUAGAUAUCGGAAGGAACAUCAGUGGCGAAAGCGACUUCCUGGACCAAUACUGACGCUCAUGUGCGAAAGCGUGGGGAGCAAACAGG
rnacentral:rRNA from 1 species